AGAUCAUUUUGGGGGCAAUUUCUAAGUAACCCCUUAUAAUGCUCCCAAGCUUCAUAAAGUGAUUCACCUGGUUGUUGCUCAAAGUUGGCAAUUGCCUUCUUGAGUUU